CACAUUGAACCUUCGGGGGAUUUGUUGGGCGGCGAGCGGCGGACGGGUGAGUAAUGCCUAGGAAAUUGCCCUGAUGUGGGGGAUAACCAUUGGAAACGAUGGCUAAUACCGCAUGAUGCCUACGGGCCAAAGAGGGGGACCUUCGGGCCUCUCGCGUCAGGAUAUGCCUAGGUGGGAUUAGCUAGUUGGUGAGGUAAGGGCUCACCAAGGCGACGAUCCCUAGCUGGUCUGAGAGGAUGAUCAGCCACACUGGAACUGAGACACGGUCCAGACUCCUACGGGAGGCAGCAGUGGGGAAUAUUGCACAAUGGGCGCAAGCCUGAUGCAGCCAUGCCGCGUGUAUGAAGAAGGCCUUCGGGUUGUAAAGUACUUUCAGUAGGGAGGAAGGUUCAUACGUUAAUAGCGUAUGGAUUUGACGUUACCUACAGAAGAAGCACCGGCUAACUCCGUGCCAGCAGCCGCGGUAAUACGGAGGGUGCGAGCGUUAAUCGGAAUUACUGGGCGUAAAGCGCAUGCAGGUGGUUAGUUAAGUCAGAUGUGAAAGCCCGGGGCUCAACCUCGGAAUUGCAUUUGAAACUGGCUGACUAGAGUACUGUAGAGGGGGGUAGAAUUUCAGGUGUAGCGGUGAAAUGCGUAGAGAUCUGAAGGAAUACCGGUGGCGAAGGCGGCCCCCUGGACAGAUACUGACACUCA
rnacentral:rRNA from 1 species